ensembl:lncRNA
ACUCCAGUAUUGCCACAAGGAAAUGUACUUACACGAACUAGAACCAGACGUAGAGAUACGUCCUUUUCUACGUCUAAGACGGUUUUUAUAAAUCUGUACUUAGACGUGGAUUUGAUCGCACAAACACUCUCAGAUCAAAUCUGUGCGUAAGUACGUUUUAUAAAUGAGGCCCUUUGUCAGCUGGAUCUUAAGAGGGAAAGAUUGACAAGGAGAGGCCACAAUCAUGCUAGUUAGAUAAUAGUCGGUUGUCCACAAGCAAUUGCCUUCAGAUGUUUACAAUGAAUAAACUGUACAAUGAAAGACAUAAAAAGAAAGACGCGCUGCUCAUACAGGAUAUGAGGCCUGGCCUUAAGGAUUGACUUUGCAUUUCUACAGCCACAGCAAAAUAUUUGAUGUUAGUUUAACAUAUUGAUUUUAAUAGUCAAGCUUUCUCAGUUAUUUUCACACCAUUGAACAGUCAUGCAGAUAUUCAAAUAGUUUUGGGUAAAAAUGUGUAUGGCUAAAAAGUCUGUGAAACACUGAAUGAAAAAGUAGUAUAUGGUCUUUAUGAAUGGUUCAAAAUAAAAAAAGGGAUAAGAGAACAUUCAGCUGCAACGUUUACAACACAUUCAUUCGCUUACAGUGCAGGUCUUGAAGAAGGCAGAAGGAUCAUCUCCCAAGAUGACAGGCAGUCCCCGAAUACAAAGGCACCUGAUGUCUGUUGGCUCAGAGGUCUGGAAUAUAGAAGACACAAUACAACAAAGUUUUCUAAGAAUACUCACACAUAUUUAUCAAAAACUAAUUCUAGAAAUUCCCCACAAUUUCAUGACAAAUAUGAAAAUGUACAAGUGCAAUAGGGGACAGAAAUGCAUUAAAAAAGGAGGACUGGGGAAAAGAUGAGAAAAUAAGGCAGGAGAUGAAAGGGAACGAUAUAUGAAUAGAUAAUUGCAAGAAAAAGAAGAGACGAAUUGGAAGAAAAGAAAACAUCAGAAAAACGAGAUGGAACAAGAAAAGAAGGAAAGCAAAGGAGAAAAAAAACAGAAGAAACUGAGAGACAGAAAAGACAAAGGGAAAGGAGAGAAACUUCACAGGACAACAAAGGGAGUAAAAUGAUGUAGACAAAUCAAGUCACCUUUGUUUGACGUAACAGCCCAAUCAAAACCUGACCAGUAAGGCCUGUCUUCUUCCUGAAAAGCUCCAUCAGGCUUGGAGAGAAACGGUCAAGCACAUCAAAGAAAUGUUCUCUGAGAUUUCUUCCCACCACUCUGCUGAACUCAUAAUAAACCUGAAACAAAGUAAACAACAUACAAGCCCAUGGUCAAUGUUAUAUUUUCUUAUCUGUAUGAUUAUGUUUACAACAAAAGAACAAAUACUUUAUUUAGACACACUCCUCUGUGCUCUCAACUGCACCUUGCUUCACAUGCCACUUAGGCUGUAUGAAAUCGUAUGUGUAUCAACAAAGUGAAGCAAAAAGUAGUCCAGAGCCAUCUUUUCAAAUCUGAUAAUUAAGCAGGCACAAUGUGCCAAAAGCAUGAACGUACUAAUUUGUUUACUAGUCAACAUUACAAUUACAACACAGAAUGCAAUUAAAUCUUUAACUGUAAUAUUCAAAACAAACCUGACUUUCUGUGAAAAGAGCUGGCCAACGCUCUACAAUCUGGCUGAUGGCAGGCUCGUCAUUGACAACUUCCUUUCAGCGGAGGGCAAAUGUUACAUCCAUCUCUUUCUUAACGAGGGAUGCAUUUGGCUUCGUCUUCAUCAUUUCAUUCACCAGAAUCUGACGAAUUCCUUCCAGAUUCUGGUCUUCCAUCCCUUCUGGAUAAUCAGGCAGGAAAUUGAUUUCACCUUUCCUUGGCUUCUUGAUGCCUUUGUUUGGUGGGUCACCACCAGUACUGUGCCUUCCACGUUUACCACCAUUGACACUGACAUCAAGUCGACCCAGCUUGCGCAUUUUACUUCUAUAAUUCCCCAUUUUAAAGGUGAUGCUGUUCUUCCAUCGAUACCAGCCACAGGACCCUUUCUCUUUAAGGCACGGGUGUGUUUGCACCAAGGCUUUGGCAACAGCUUCAUAAUUUUAUUUUCCUGGGUAUGCUUUGAACGCAUACAUGGUCUCUGCCAGUUUCUGGAGAAUUUCAUGCUUAAGUUCUUUAGUUACUUGAAGAGGGGUUGCAUCCCUGAGAUAUAGCAGGUUAGCUUGGCGAAGUCUAUACUCAACAUCGACUGGAAAUUUAGGAAUUUCAAAUUCCUCCGGCCACUGAGAAGAUCUGUUUGGAGAGGCGAUGCCUUCCUGGCUGCUUCCGGCAUUACAUAAUUCUGGUUGUGCUGUGCCUUCCUGGCUGCUUCCGGCAGUACAUAAUUCCAGUUGUGCUGUGACUGGUUCAAGCUCAAUCACCGGGAUGAUUUUGAUUGUUGGUUUCUCUGGGAGAUCAGAGACAUCUGUGAGGUUAACCAAUUAAUUGUCAAAUUCAGGAUCUUGGUAUUGUAUGGUGAAUGUGUAGCAUGCUUGAAGAACAUCUUUGAGCCAGCCAAUCAAGUCUUCCAGUGUGUCUGGUCGUGGAGUCAUUGUCAUCUUUCUAAUAUCUCCCUCGGAGAUAAUAACCCUCAUGGUUAGUUUCUGUGGUGCAGCCAUCUACAGUAAAAUGAUAGACAGGUAUUUAACAAAUAAUAAAUCGUCUCAGUGUCACCAAAAGCUGUCCUUCUACCCUGUAAGCUGGCAGUGGGAAGACAUCAUUUAACUCUGACAUCUUGACCACAUAUAUAGAGGUGGUAUCAUUACAGUGAAGUUCGUAGGAUCUUAAAUGCUCAGAGUACCAUGCUGUCAUUUUGAGGCAAACAAACAGAAUAUCUGCAUUGGCUGCAACAAUCCUUUCAAUCUGGGCAAAUUCAGGGAGACCUGAGCACGAGCCAGCAGAGAUAAUCAUGCCUGGAUGAUACUUAAUUCCAUCUAUACAGACAGAUGAUGCAUCAAACAGUGAUCCUACCACUGCAAUGUGUUGAGCAAUUGAUGUCUGAAACAUCUGAGGGAAAGUAGCGAGUGGAACUGCAGUAACCUUUGACAUCUCAACUGAUGGUCUGAAAAAUUAGCUACAGUCAAGAUGGUAACUGACUGCCUUCUGGUGUUUUGUGGCAAGUGUCAUGGCAACAUUUUUAAAGUUUUGAGCAUUGCGAAUCGCCCUUUUAAAGAACUUAUGCUUUCCCUCAAAGCGCAUUGUCCAAACUUCUGUCAGGGGACAAAAUUUCCUCACAAGCUGAGGAUAAUGUUCCACAUAAUGAUGCUUUGGCCUUAAACGAAAAUCUGGAAAUGUAAACUUCAGCAAACGUCUGUGAUCUGUUAUCUUACAGUCGAAGAAAUUCAGUGUCUCUUCUGUAUGUGUCGGUGCCACAGCUAGCUCAACAAUGUCUUUGAGGAGCAUGAGAAUUUCCCAAGUAUUGUCGCCCUCAGGGACACAGUGACCAAUAAAAAAUGGAAGGAGCCUUAUGAGACACCAGUUCUCAUGGGCAUUUCCGCCAAUGGUCCCUUUGGUGGAAAAACUCUUUCCAAUAAUCUGAGGUCGAUCUGUUUUGUCAGUAGAUGUAUAAUUAAAAUACCUGAUGGCCUGAUUCAGCAUAUCUAAAGUGAAAUACCCCUUGCCUAUCAUAUCUGUAAGACACAGGUACAACUCAGUCGGGACAAUGCCUUCGAAUAAAUCGUGCAUGAUGUCAGGAGGGUACCCGGUGACCACAUGAAAGUGCUCAAGAUUCUCUGUUAAAGGGCAUGCUCUUUUCACCCCGUAAAUUCGACUUAGCCCAGGGUCCUCUCUCACCUCCUGGACCUGCUUAUCAUGGGACUCUUUGUCUCUAAGUUGAAAUAAAUCCGAAUAUACCUCCUGCUGUUGAGCGUCUCCCCUGUUUGCUGUGCAGAAUCUGCAAAACUUGUCCACAGUGAAGCUCUCCAGGAAUCCUGCAAGGGAGUGGGCACCAAGAUUAUCAGCCGCAACAUACAAGACUGUCCCUUUCACACUUACACCCAAUUGCUCCACGUAAACGCCAUUUUGCUCCAAUAACUUGAGGUCAUAGAUCAGAGGGUGAAUAAUCUUUUCAUAACCACACUCUUUCACUGUGGAGGUGUUGCAUAGCAGAGCAAACUGGAUAGAGUUGAGGGUUGACCUGUAUUUUGCAGGUAUGUUCGCAAUAACCUAGUAUACUGCACACAUUUUGUGUUUAAGCCUUGAUGUUCCGAGAGGAUUGGCUACUUCAAAGUCAUCAAUGUAUAGGCCAAGAGCAAUGGUAAACUCAUCUUUUGCCAAAAGUGAAUUUUCCGUAAAGUGCUGUUCAUCAGCAUAUGAUCUGUAUUGUUGUGGGACAUGGACUUUUUCUGACAUAGCUUUGUCUAAAACAUCAGUUUUUUGAAGUAACUUCUGUAGCAUGGGAAAAAUGGGAACGUAUGCAAGAGUUUUUUUGCCUUUUUCUACAACAUACUCUUACCAGUGGAAACUCUCUGCGUACAUAGGCUGCUCUUUUUUUUAAGUUCCUAAAGCUCCAUCCUGGGCACAAUAUGUCAUGAUGUUACUUUCUGACACAGCAUUGAUGACCUCUUUCAAAACUGUUUCAUCCAUGUCAGCAUAAUACCUUUUUAAUAUGGCCCUGACUCUGCUUUGGAGAAUUGGCUGUGACAGCUUAUUGAGUUGACAAAGUUGUUGCAUCACCUCCUGCACUGCACUCUCUGGUAUGUUCAAUACAGUUUGCAUCUUGAGCAGAAGAGACGCUAAAUUGUGCUCAAGCUGCUUUUCUAAGUCAUGAAGAUCUUGGUCACUGGUUACUUCACUCACCUCUUCUAAGUCCUCAACAUCAUCUGCAUCUAGCAUUUGCUCUUGUGCAACAUCCCGGUCAUGGCUUACAAUAUCAUCGCCAACGAUUUAUGGCUUAAAUUCUGUCCAGUUCUGUUCCCUGUGUACUUUACUCUUGUGUGCUUUGAAGGUGGAGUAAACACUGCUUUCAAAGUUACAGUCUUUGUAAGGGCACCUGAUUUUAUGGUGUACUUUUAGAUGUGCAGAAUGCAGGUGAGU